GCGGGUAACGGCCACCAAGGCGACGAUCAGUAGCCGGACUGAGAGGUUGACCGGCCACAUUGGGACUGAGACACGGCCCAGACUCCUACGGGAGGCAGCAGUCGGGAAUAUUGCGCAAUGGAGGAAACUCUGACGCAGUGACGCCGCGUGCAGGAAGAAGGUUUUCGGAUUGUAAACUGCUUUAGACAGGGAAGAAACUGACGGUACCUGACUAAGAAGCACCGGCUAAAUAC
rnacentral:rRNA from 1 species